rnacentral:rRNA from 1 species
GCCUGUUCUAGAACCGAUAACCCCCGUUCAACCUCACCCUUCCUUGUUUAACCCGCCUAUAUACCGCCGUCGUCAGCUUACCCUGUGAAGGAUUAAUAGUAAGCAAAACUGGUACAACCUAAAACGUCAGGUCGAGGUGUAGCGUAUGGAGGGGGAAGAAAUGGGCUACAUUCGCUAUUACAGCGAACACGAAUGAUGUACUGAAACGUAUAUCUGAAGGAGGAUUUAGCAGUAAGCAGGAAAUAGAGCGUCCCGCUGAAACUGGCCCUGAAGCGCGCACACACCGCCCGUCACUCUCCCCAAAAACACCAGCCAAUUAACUAAAACCUAAUAAUUAAAAAGGGGAGGCAAGUCGUAACAUGGUAAGUGUACCGGAAGGUGCGCUUGGAAAA